GACGAACGCUGGCGGCGUGCUUAACACAUGCAAGUCGAACGGAAAGGCCCUGCUUUUGUGGGGUGCUCGAGUGGCGAGCGGGUGUGUAACAUGUGAGUAACCCGCCCUUGACUUUGGGGUAACUUCAAGAAACUGGUGCUAAUACCGGAUAGGAGCUCCUGCUGGAUGGUGGGCGUUGGAAAGCUUCUGCUGGUGGGGGUGGACUCGCGGCUUAUCAGCUUGUUGGUGGGGUAGUGGCUUAGCAGGGCUUUGACGGGUAGCCGGCCUGGGAGCUUGACCGGCCCCAUGGGGCCUGCGAUACGUCCCAGUGUCGUACGUGAGGCAGUGGUGGGGAAUAUUGCCCAAUCGUCGGAAGCCUGAUGCAACAACCCUGCGUGCGUGAUGAGGUUUUUCGGGUUGUAAACCGCUUUCGCCUGUGACGAAGCGUGAGUGACGGUAACGGGUGAAGAAGCACCGGCUAACUACGUG
rnacentral:rRNA from 1 species